rnacentral:rRNA from 1 species
CGAACGGGUGAGUAAUGCGUGACCAACCUGCCCCAUGCUCCAGAAUAGCUCUUGGAAACGGGUGGUAAUGCUGGAUGCUCCAACUUGACGCAUGUCUUGUUGGGAAAGUGUUUAGUGGCAUGGGAUGGGGUCGCGUCCUAUCAGCUUGUAGGCGGGGUAAUGGCCCACCUAGGCUUCGACGGGUAGUCGGCCUGAGAGGGCGGACGGCCACAUUGGGACUGAGAUACGGCCCAGACUCCUACGGGAGGCAGCAGUU